UUUCAUUCCCAAAAAAAAAUUCGGUGAUAAGGUAAUCGUUGUAAUAGGGUUUGCAGUGAUGCUUGAAAAUUUGUUUGUUAAAUUUUCUUCUCCUUCUUUAUCUUUAUUUUAUUUUUCAAGAUGGGUAGACACGUGGCGGUAAGAAUAUUUUCGAUUAGUGGCUUUGCCGUUUCUUGUCGAGAAUUUAAAACACGUUUGAAACACGUUUGAAACAUGUGCGUGACACACUUGGCUCUUGGUUGGCAUCGAGUGGGCAUCGAGUGGGCAUCGAGUAGGCAUCGGAGAAUCACUCAAUGCUUAUAUAUUCCUAACAAUUAUUAUAUAAUAACAAUUUCUCGACUUUAAGAAAGAAUAAUACGUUGAAUAAAUUGGGAUUGUCAUUUAUUUGUUACCACCGCUUCCUCAGGCCCGUCCUUUUUUUCUCGCGGAAGUUCUUUGUGUUCUCGGAACGAUGGGAAUGAAAACGUUGACGCGGUACGUUGCACGCAAAAAUAAGAGAUUUUUUUUGGUCAUAUCUUACAACCCACAUCGGUCUUCUUACUUUUCGUCUUCGAAUUUUUACUUCGUUGAAAUUUUUUCCUUUGAAAAGAAACGAUCAAUAACACGGGAAGAAAGGAAGACAGGAAGAAAGGAUGAAACUGUGGGGGAGGGGAAUGGGGAGGUAAAAGAAGAAGAAAUUCUUGUUCAAUUCGACCUUUUUCUUAAAUCCACAAUUUGUCGAUACAAUUUUAAGAUUUUUCAACUGUUUGCUGAACAAGAUUUCGGAUAAUAAAAUAGCCUAAUAUUGCAUAAACAUUUUAUUGACGUUUAAAUGAAUCAAAAUAGGUAUUGUUUAAUUAAUAAUGUAAAACAUAAUAAAAUAGUAAUAAUUUAAUUGAAUUAUAAGGUGGGACUCAUGCAGUUAUCGCAAUAUUUCAAGGUGAAACUAAAAAUAUCCUACCGGGCAUUACGGUGCAUCAAAAAGAUGGGACACUUUUAAUCCCAUAGUGUUUGGAAAAAUUAGACAACCAUAGCAUAAAUUAUAUAUAUAAUAUUGAAGUUAUGAAAUACACGACAAAGAUUUGUUAUAGGAAAAUAAUUAACAAUUGAAAAAUGAUAUUUUGUCAGAUUGAAAAAUAUCAUUUGCAACAAUUAUUCGUCGUUGCAUUGGUGAAGGAAAUAGGAUGCAUUCGCUUCGUUGUUCGUUCAGGGCGGUUCGUAUUUACGGUUCAAGAGUUCCAUCCAUACCAACGAGAAAGAGAAAGAGAGAGAGAGAGAAAGAGAGAGAGGAAGGACACCAACGUUUGUGGGUUGUGUUAUGGUCAGUAUAGUGUAUAUCCGUUGGUACAAUAACAUCCACUGAUGUGACGUAUCUGCGAUACUUAAAACAGAUAUUUCUAUUCGAAUUCCAUUCGAAUUUCUUGAAAAUUGACCCAAUUUUCCAAGAGAAAAAUUUGAAAACAUUUAGCGGGACGUUCGUACAGUAAUCUUGUAAAUUGCAUCGUUGAGAUUGUUGGGAUUCAUUUCCGUCAAAUAUUUAUUAAAUAAUACUGUUAACACAUUGAACACUGCGCGAAUUCUUAAAUAAAUCCCCGUAAGGCCACGGGGGGGGGAUGCACUUAAUAUUUAAAUAACAAUUGAGUGUGUGUGCCACUAAACAACGUGUUAAAACAAAUGUAUUAUGUAUGUGUAUGCAACGAUGCAUAUCAUAACGUAACAUAACGCCAUCUUUAUUCAAACUACGAGUCUUUUACACAUAUAAAAACCGAUAUUUGAUAUUUAAUCGGAUAAGAAAAAUAUACUUAAAAGAAUGCGGUUAUAGUUUGGUAUUUUAGAUGAUGACGUAUCUAGAAAGAAAAAACAAAAAGAAUCUACGCUAAAGAUGGACAGCUAAAGAUGGACAACCAAAGGUAUAGUUAAGCGGGUAAGGGGGGCCCCCGUGUCAUCGGAGACGCGUCGCCCAUGGGGAGAAAAAUGGACACGUUCGUCGACCUAUACCUCGCCCUUCCCUAGUCUCAUAAGUAGAAAGAUAGGUGGUGGUAAGUCAUGGUGGUGGGAACGGAUUAGAGUCGAAGCUUUACCGUCUCUUCAGUCGGCCCGGAAACGCCGAGCGAGAAUUCUUAACUCGACUCAUGCACGUUCUUCUUUGUUAAAACUUUGUCGACACGUGACAACACACUUCCUUUUGUUUUGUUUUCUUUUCAAGUGGGUGGUGCAUUGCUUGAUUCAACGAAUAUGAGAGCUAACCUAAAAGUUAUAAUAACAGAGUGUGCAGAAUUGAGAAAGAAAUGUGUGUGUUUGCGAAAAUUAACGUGCUUCUGUUAGAGAAUAUUCCAUCGGGACGAGAAUGGUCAGUUUCAAAAGCAACAACGUCACCAGUGGGCAACCAAGGUCGCAUUGUCAGGUGACUGGGACUUCUCCGAGUAAUUUUCGCGAUCAUCGAGGUAGUCAUUCGGGCAGACAUGAAGCAACGUUGCCGGUCUCGUAUCGUUCUGCAGCAGGCCUACGAUCAUCAUCGGUAUCGGCACCACCAGCAUCACCAGCAUCAUCGCCGUCAUCAUCGUCGAGCGUCGAUCCUACGGUGCAACGCGGUUGCGCUUUGCAUCCGAGGCUCGAACACCCGGUGACCACAUCGACUCCCGGGAUGGACAGCAAAAAGAUUGUCCAAGCUACAACGGCAGUCGUAGCGGUAGGUAGCGGCCAGGUGCGCAACAAAAACAACGAUGCUGCAGGUUUGGCGGCUUCCGUGUCUGGAAUCCGACGACGAAGCGGACCCCAAGGAUUGCGAUCACCCGCUGCGAAAAGACCCCUAUCGGCACCGGUCCACCUACAAGGUUGGCUACACAAGCAAGGUUCAGAAGGGCUCAUGCUUUGGAAGAAACGCUGGUUCGUCUUGUCCGAGUAUUGUCUCUUCUACUACAAAGGUCCAGAAGAAGAGAAACUCCUGGGGUCGAUACUCUUGCCUUCGUAUAGGGUUACCAUUUGCAGACCCGAAGACAAGGUCAACAGGAAGUUCGCUUUCAAGGCUGAACACGCGAACAUGAGGACUUACCACUUUGCAGCUGAGAAUCGUGAAAGCAUGAAUCAAUGGGUAAACGCGUUAACUCUGGCGACCCUUCUGCAGGAUCCCAGUCCCGGAAGGGGCGAGGCUGUAGAGGACAUCGAAUUAGGAGGACAACCGGAUGGGGAACGAAGCGCCAGGCCAAGCGUCUCUUCGAUUUCAUCCGUAUUGAAUCAAAGUGCCGACGACAGCGACUCAGGUUUUCACGGAUUUCUCUCGAGGGACGAUCCUAGUCACGCGUCAAACAACAAUUCCAGUCCUAACAGCGUCAACACUGCCUCCUUUCCUAAUCUUAGCGGGAGCAACGGUAACGGAAAUGCCGCUUCUUCUAACAACACCAACAACAACAAUCUAAAAGAAGUUCAGCAAGUAGCCAAUGGUUGGCUCCAACAAUCACCUCAAUAUGGUCAAUCCAGUUCGUCGCAACAUCAACAUCCGCAAUACUGUUUCACCGAACAUUCAGUUUCUCAGCAACUACAACAAGGUCACUCUCAUCAGCAUCAAGCGAUGUUGCAUCAAGCGCAUCAAAAUAUCUCUCAGGUUUAUCAACACAAGCAACAGCAGCAGCAACAACAGCAACCACAGACGCAUCCUGGUCUGAUAUACGUGCAAGCGGGUCAAUCAACGCCUAGAAAAUUUGGUCAGCCUAUAUACGCGAAUGCACCACCGAAACCUAGGAGGUUAACCGACGGAUCCAACGAGUAUUCCACACCCUCGCCUGAGCCAGUUUUUCGAAGAUCUCCAGUCUCGCCAGACGUUACCUUAACCAGCAAAAGUCCCAUAUCCGAUUACGAUAGGAACAGCGUUAUUUAUGCUACUGGAAUGAGUCAGCCGUCGCAACAGAGCUUAAGGACAGACAAGUCUGGUCUAAAUUAUGGUUAUUGUCAAGGACAAUCGACCGAAAGACGUACGCCGGACACUUAUGGAAGAAGCGCGAAGCCUUCCAGACCGAACCGAGGAAACGGUGACUACGAAGAAGUCUAUGGUAUACCUCAACUUUAUCAGAGACCAGCUGGACCAGUCAUUGGAUACACCAAAGCAACUGCACCAGCACCUAUAUCUAUUCCCACCUAUGCUCAACAUCAGCAAAUGCAACAGCAGCAACAACUUCAUUCGCCAGUCACGCCACCCAAUGUUCCCAUAAUAAGACAACCAAUAGCUCACCAACUACCACCACCGCGACCCCACAGUGCCGAUUUUCUCGAAUACGAAGCAACGAGACGACCUCAGCAACAAAACCCCGUGCAAAACGAAAGUUCCUCGAGCCAACAAAAACGGCCCCAAAGGCCUAAGUCCAGUUUGGAUAUAAUGAAUCCAACGGAUGCGACCAACGACGGCUAUUAUUAUUCCGAAGAAAGAUACGCAGCGCAAAUGCGUCAAUCCGCUGUUUAUCUACAUCAAACUCCUCAACAUCAUCAACAACAAAGAAACCAGUCGUUAUCGCGAGCCACCGCGCCGUCAAAAUUACCAUCGGUUCACGAUAGAAACAACGGUGAUAUCAGAAUGGCCACUUUACCCGAUUCGUCUUGUUCUACCUUGAGACGUUUGCAACGGGAACAUGCUCAUCAACAUCAACAUAACAUAUCUACUCAAACAUUGCAAAGACAUAACGAAUUGUCCAACAACGAUGCCAAGUUGAGAAGAUCCUUACGGGAAAAGGUUUACGAAUCGUGUUCUCGCAACUCAAUGACACGGGAAUACGAAUCGUCGACGAAUUGGAACAAAUCUGUCUGUCACUCGAAUUAUGGGCUUACCAUGAUACAAUCGGCGCACAGUGGUGGACCCACCAAACGAUGGGCCGAACAACAGCAACAGCAACAACAACAGCAAUUUUAUAGAUCAGCGUCGGCACGUUUGCCAAGAUCUCGACACCCUGGUGCUUUGGAUGAGGACGAUGACGAUUACGGUGGACGAUCUUCAGUGGAACAGGAGACUCGCGAUGGUGAACGAAAAAUUCAACAGCGAGAAGAAUCGAUGAAACGUUUAUUGGAAUGGAAACAACGCAUGCUGCAGUCACCGUUAACGCGUAAACCAUCCGGAUCGAUGAACCGUACCAGAGCACAAAACGAGUUAUCGAAUUAUUAUAAACAGCAAGCACUCUUGGACCUGGCAGCUCACGAAGCUUCGGUAACUGAAGCUUCACGUCAUUCACGGAGAAAAGAAGACGGGCACAGGUCGCAUAUCAGAAGCAAAAGUUCCGAUGGUCGCAGAACUGUUACUUCCGUCUCACGAUACAACAGUUAUUCGAGCGACGACGAAGCAUCCGGUUCUGGAUCGGUAAUAGGAAGAGAUCCACUUCCACCUAGAGCAGUUAGUACGUCUCAUUUGGCUGAAAGGACUCUGACCCAACCACCAGCUGUGGAAUCAACCUUAUCAUCGACUUUACCAUUACCACGAAGCACCGCUAAUCAUCGUCAACAGCAUCAACAUUUUCCUAUACGUCAGUCGAGUCCACAAGAGAAGCAACAGGACCAACAGCAAACGCUACAACGACUGCCAACCACCACCGAAUCGCUAAUUUUACGAGCAUCCAGUAACGGAGAUAUCGGAACGAGUAUAGCACAAACUAACAACAAUGAGAUGAAGAAUUUGAAACUGUUAUCAUCAAAUAAUCAUCCAACUCAAAGGUUACACUCGUCUAGCGGACAUUUGAGAGUAAUUGAUUUGACCGAGCAUAGAAUUUCGAGUCCAAGCGAUAAUGAAAUUCAAGUUCACAGUCCAAUCGAAAGAAAAGGAAUUUGUGCGAUUGGUUUAGAAGUGGACCGUGGUGGAAGUGGUGGUAGUGGUAACGAGAUUAACGUCAGAGGAAAUCAACGUGAACUACUUCACAAAAGGGGCAACGUUAGAAGAAUAGUUAGUGGUUCACCGACAGCAACAGCAACACCAGCAGCAGGUAGAGCAACGUCAACAGCAACGUCUACGUCAACGUCAACGUCAACACCAACGACCACGCCAACACCAACGCCAACACCAACUCCAACGUUGACCCCAACCCUAACACCCACGCAAAUUGGAACAAACGAUCUCGUUCGGGUAUCCGCUGGCGAACUUCUCGGAAGGACACACGAGGAACUGGUUUUAUUGCUUAUUCAGCUGCGUAGACAAAACGCCACUCUUCUCAAGGCCAUGGACAAUUGUCACAUGGAAAUUGAGGCUCAGGCGAGAUUGGCUGAAUUGGACACGCCAAGGCGUCUGGAAAAUCUUCAAAAACUCGAAGAGUUAAAGAAACACCUGAUGGAUCUUGAAAAGCAGUACGAGAAAGGAAAACCUUUGGUAAACCUAGUCGACAACAUGGUCAAGCUUGGAUCAUUGUACAAUCGCAAUACUGCAAACGAAACUAACAACGUGACUACUUCUCAUAACGAUUUAUUCAAAGAGAACGCGAAAAAUCAUCGGGAUCGUUUGGAAUUUAAUCAGAGAUUACAAGAACAACGUUUGCUUGCUGAAGAACGCAGAGAUUGGAAUAGACUCAGUCCGGAUCAUGGACAAUUGCAGGCAAAGGUACAACAGUUAUACAAACUUGACCGAUUACUUCAAGAAGAAUCAGGUACCCUUCAUAGUCUUCAGCAAGACAAGGAAAUUCUGGAAAAAGCUCUGGGAGGUUUGCGACACAAAUUGCAAGGCAGCAGAAGUAACUUGAUCGAAGCGGAACGUUACAGAAAGCAACAGCUUUUAUUGGAACGCGAAUUGAGCAGAGUCAGAGUAUUGUUGGCGCACAAUUCUAAGGUAAAACCGGUAUUACCAAGUCAGAAAUUGGAAGAAACAGUAGCGGAGAAUGCAAGACUGGAACAAGAUUUGGUAGUGUUAAGGCAAAAAUUGCAAGCUUCCAGAAGAUACGCUGGUAAUAUAACGAGAGAUGCAUCAUCGGGUACGACUGCACCAUUGGAAACGGAAUUGAGAAGAGUUCAACAAUUGGUUGGCGAUCUUCAAAGGCAAAGAAAAGAGCUAAGUGUUCAAGUUCAACAACUCACUGAAAAGUCUCAUAGUUUGGUACAGCAAAUUCGACCACAGUCGUCUCCAGCUCCGCCAGUUCAUCAUUCGAAGAAACGCACUCAGAAUUCUUGGUUGGAGACUGAUUUAGAUUCUGGGAUCACUCUUGAUCAUGGCCUUGGUUCACCAGCUAGUCCAUCAUUGUUAUCCUCGACACAUGGGAAACAAAAUUUGGAAAGUCCUUAUCGUCGUUACGCGUCACCAACGCAACACAAGAAAUCAUCUUCGCCAAAUCGUCAACACGUCGAACAACAACCUACUGUACAAAAUUCGCAUAAUCAUAUAUCGUCUUUGUCGCCGCAAUUACGGGAACAAAUUCAGCAACAUCAAUUGAAGCAACAAUUGUUGAAAGAUCAAAUGCAGGGAAAGGGUAGUUUGAUGCAGAUCAAUGUUUCCCCUUUGUACGUCAAUACCGAGUCCAGAAUGCAAGAUACUAACAAAAGCAACGAUAGCAUUACGAGCCAAACAAAUGGUGGACCUAACCUCCCACCGGAAUACGUUCCACCACCUCCACUUCAUCCUCUUAACGAAGAAACUUCUUUGACGAACGAUAAUUACAGACAAAAUGAAGAUAAUAAAUUUGCAGGUUUGUUGCACAAUCGAGAAAAGCAAGAAAUAAAAACGGUCAGAAUCGUUAAACGGGAAUCCGAGAGACGUCAAAGAGAUCGAGGUGAUAGAAAUGGUAAUAUCGGGAUUCCAUUAACGAACGGAGGACUUCAGGCACCUGGUGGAGCAAAAAGAUUGUCCGACGAUGACAUAGCUGGUUCCCAGAAAUUCGAAAAAGCCCAAUUGGGUAAAGUCGUUGAAGAAGUACCAAUUGUUCAUGCUCAAAGUACCGUACAUUUGACCGAGCUUGACGACAUACAAUUCCAAAGAAGCAUGUCUCUUCCUCGAGGAUUUGGUGGUCAACGACAUCAACCUGGUGUUCAUCAUAUUCCCGUUGCUCCACCACCCCGCAGCGAUAGCAUGCACGCUCUUAAAACUAUCAUGAUGCGAAGACACAAGGUCAAGUUUGAAAAUUACGACGGAAGCUCCGAUAGCACGUUAUCACCGCACCUCGAUAGUCCUACGUCGAGUACGCAGUUGCCAAUUAGUUUGCCAAACUACUCGAGCUCGCCUUAUAAUAAUCCAAGUCAUCAGAAUUAUUAUUCUGGACAAACUGCGAGAGGAUCGAAUCAACAACAACAACAACAACGAUACUAUUCGCCACACCUGCAAUACGAAAAUUCAACGUUAAUUGCGAAGAGUUCGCUAGCACUGAGUCCGGAACCGGUGUCACCCAAUAACGGUGGUGACGUACCUUUAGACAGGCCGACAUUAGGGUCGAUAGUUAAUGCUAACAGCAAAUCGGAAUCACCCCAAUUGUCUCCAGUGUUUAAAAGCGAAGCUGCCAAGCAGAUUAUCAAAGAAAUGACCGAGAGAAAAGUCGACGGUCCUAGAAGAAGACAGGUUCCUAAAGAAAAGAGAAGACACUACACCGUUUCUAGUAGCAAACCCGUUCUAGAUCUCGAGGACAACUUCUCCAGGAUGGGUAUGGGUAGAGCAAGAGACGACUUGGACAUGGAACAAGCUCUCAGACCUAGAAUCAAUGCUCCGGAUGUCGUGAGAUCGACUUUAAGUCAUAAAGAAUUGAAAUAUAACGAGAGUACCAUCGAUCAAUUGUUGGGUACACCAAAUAAGAUUGUCAUUCCUGAACGUUAUAUUCCCGAGCAGACCCCAGAAUUAACGGCAGAAGAACAAGAGCAACGUUUGAAGAAAGCAGAUGCUAUCAGAAAGAUGCUUUCCGAAACAACUGUCACUGCACCCGAGGGAACUGACGACGACGUAAAUCACGAUAAACCUGACACGUUGAAAAGAAAAGUAGUCGAGGAGAAACGACAGAGAGAACACAUUCUUCAGCUGAAUCAAAUUCUUGCUAAACAAGUCAUGGAGAAGAGUAAAAUGGUAGCCGGUAACCAGGCGCACUGACAGACAUGCUUUCUCGAUUCUCCCACGUAGGACACACGCACUCCUUCUUCACGUUUAUCGUUUUUCAGCUUAUUUACGUCGUCGAUCAUUCGUUGCUUCGAAAUAAUGAUGAUCGUACUUCUCUCACCGAUGAGAUACACUGACCGGAUCUUUUUAUCGUCGACAGUCAAAGCAUUGGCUACACUUCCAUUGAAGACUGAAUCGAGCAUGGACGAAGAAGAUCUAUCACCUGUGACACCGUUGCCAUUGUAUCAACAAAGGGAAAAUUAUUAUUCAUAAAUUUAAUCACACAUUCGGAUUAUUCCAAUUGAAAAGGACAAACGCUGGAUCAUUUUUUUUAAACAAAGGGAAGAAAGAAGAAGAAAAACAAAAGCACAAUCAAUAAAUUACUGCCAAAUGCGACCCGACCGAGAAGAACAAAAAACAAACAAAAACCCAAGGGGAAGAAAUAUAUAUAUCGGAAAUUAAAUAAAAAAUAAAAUAUAUAAAUACGCGCGAGGGGGGGGGUGUGGGUGAGGACAGAAAAAUAAUCGACGAUCGAAUUAAAUGUCCUCGAUUUCUUUUUAUCUUUUCAUUAAUUUAUUACUUCGAUUUUGAAUAUUGUGUAUAGGAAGAAAACAACAACAACAAAAAACACCAUUGAUAUCCUAUGUAAUUUAGAAUAUUGAUAUGGGACCGCGACGAAAUUAAUAAACGAUGGCAGUUAAUAAAUCUAAUAAUUAAACAAAUGCAUUAUAUAGAAAAAUUGUAGCAAUAAUCUCUUAGAUAUAUAUUAAGAUACAAUAAUCGCACAGCAUUAAGUGGUAUUGUAAUUGAAAAUAUAUACAGCAGUUGCCAUAAAAAUACAUAUUAAAUAAUAUAAUAUAUUACAAAUUUCGCAUAGGAUCCUUCGAAGAGAGAGGGGAGAAAAUAAAAAUGAAUUUGAUUACGUUAAUAUACGUUAUCGAAUUGAAUUUUUGUUGAUCUGCGACAGGACGUUUAGCAUAAAAAAUAAAAAGCCUAAAUAAACGAAAGAAACGGGGUGCCAAAAAUUAGGGCGAUUGAAGAAAGAACGCGGGGUGCUACGAGACUAUUGUCAAUUACAAAUAAAUCGUAAUUGCGUUAACGCAUAAACGCGAAUAAAUCAUCAUUCGAAUAAUACAAAUGAAAACAAACAAAAAUAUGAAAAAUCAACUUCUCGAGCCUUCCUCUACCAAGGUUUUUUUAUAAGCGCAUUAUUGUAAUAAUAUAAAUAUAUAAACACACACACUUAUACACCCUCUCUUUGUAUAGGAAGGUGUGUAUUAUUAUUAUUAUAUGACUGUACAUAAAGUUAUUAGAUAGGCAAGUAAGCGAGUACAUAGGAAGAAUGUAUAAUAAAUAAAAAAGAGGGAAGGGAGGGUCCCCCUUCUAAAGUACGGUCCUAAAUUUAGAAAAAAAAAAUGAUGUUCCUUCGUCGAGAUAAACUGACGAACAUUCGCACUUUUAAUUAUUAAUUAAUAAUUAUAUUAAAUCAAUGUGAGAAUGGGGGUGCGCGUCUUACGUACGAUAUAAAUAUUUACACGUAAAAAUUGUGUUAGCCUAAAAAAUUCUUAUUGGCGGGCUCUUCUCACCCUUCGAUGAGAAAUAUAGUCAUACUCAUUGCGUUUAUAAAACGCGGUUAAAUAUUAUAAACAGCGAAUAAAUCUAAUAAUAAUUUAACGUUGACCUCAAAGGAAACACACAAAUCACUGUUAUUGUUAUAUCGGAUGAAAUAAAAUUAAUACAA